rnacentral:lncRNA from 1 species
CUAAAAAUACAAAAAAUUAGCCGGGCAUGGUGGCAGACGCCCGUAAUUCCAGCUACUCAUGAGGCUGAGGCCGGAGAAUCACUUGAACCUGGGAGGCAGAUGUUGCAGUGAGUGGAGAUUGUGCCACUUCACUCCAGCCUGGGUGACAAAGCUGAUGAAUUCAUCCGAGCAAAUGCCACCAACAAGCUGACAGUCAUAGCUGAGCAAAUCCAACAUUUGCAAGAACAAGCCAGGAAGGUACUGGAAGAUGCUCACAGAGAUGCCAACCUGCACCAUGUAGCUUGUAAUAUAGUGAAAAAACCUGGCAACAUUUACUAUCUCUAUAAACGGGAGAGUGGUCAGCAGUAUUUUUCCAUCAUUUCUCCAAAGGAAUGGGGGACAAGUUGUCCACAUGACUUCCUUGGUGCCUACAAACUACAGCAUGACUUGUCCUGGACUCCGUAUGAGGACAUUGAGAAGCAAGAUGCUAAAAUCAGCAUGAUGGACACGUUGCUAAGCCAGUCAGUGGCCCUGCCUCCGUGCACUGAACCCAACUUCCAGGGACUGACUCACUGAGAGUGGGCUUUGACAAACAGCUCUCACAGGACCU